AAAUGUUAAAUAGAUAUUCUAUAUUUGAUUACGGUUCAAGGUGAUAUACAUUUU
rnacentral:tRNA from 1 species